GGGCCGGUAGCUCAGUUGGUAGAGCGCCUGACUGAUACUCAGGGCGUCGCGGGUUCAAAUCCCGUCCGGUCGG
rnacentral:tRNA from 1 species